rnacentral:rRNA from 1 species
UGAAUACGAGAUGCUACGGCGUCGAAGCAGUCUAUGUCAUACUUCCAAGAAAAGCUUGCACUGUCAUAAACAAAUAAUGCCUGUACCAUAACCGACACAGGUGGGUAGGUAGAGUAUACUAAGGGGCGCGAGAUAACUCUCUCUAAGGAACUCGGCAGAAUGACUCCGUAACUUCGGGAGAAGGAGUGCCUUAUUUUAUAAGGUUGCAAUAACAAGACCCAAGCAACUGUUUACCAAAAACACAGGUCUCCGCUAAGUCGUAAGACGAUGUAUGGGGGCUGACGCCUGCCCAGUGCCAGAAGGUUAAAGAAGUUGGUUAGCGCAAGCGAAGCUGAUAACUGAAGCCCUGGUGAACGGCGGCCGUAACAAUAACGGUCCUAAGGUAGCGAAAUUCCUUGUCGGGUAAGUUCCGACCCGCACGAAAGGCGUAAUGAUUUGGGUACUGUCUCAGAGAGGGGCUCGGUGAAAUAGACUUGUCUGUGAAGAUGCGGACUACCUGCACCAGGACAGAAAGACCCUAUGAAGCUUUACUGUAACUUGAAAUUGAAAUUGGACUUUACUUGCGCAGUAUAGGUGGGAGGCGUUGAUAAUAUUCUUGCGGGAAUAUUGGAGCCAUCAGUGAGAUACCACUCUUGUAAUGUUAGAUUUCUAACUUUGUAUCAUUAUCUGGUCAAAGGACAGUUUCAGGCGGGCAGUUUGACUGGGGCGGUCGCCUCCCAAACGGUAACGGAGGCGCACAAAGGUUUCCUCUGAACGGGUAGAAAUCGUAUCUAGAGUGUAAAGGCAUAAGGGAGCUUGACUGUGAGACCUACAAGUCGAGCAGGGACGAAAGUCGGUCUUAGUGAUCUGACGGUGCUGAGUGGAAAGGCCGUCACUCAACGGAUAAAAGUUACUCUAAGGAUAACAGGCUGAUCUCCCCCAAGAGUUCACAUCGACGGGGAGGUUUGGCACCUUGAUGUCGGCUCAUCGCAUCCUGGGGCGGUAGUACGUCCCAAGGGUUGGGCUGUUCGCCCAUGAAAGCGGUACGCGAGCUGGGUUCAGAACGUCGUGAGACAGUUCGGUCCAUAUCCGGUGUAGGCGUUAGAAUAUUGAGAGGAGCCUUCUUUAGUACGAGAGGACCGAGAAGGACAUACCUCUGGUGUACCAGUUAUCGUGCCAACGGUAAACGCUGGGUAGCUACGUAUGGAGUGGAUAACCGCUGAAAGCAUCUAAGUGGGAAGCCCACCUCAAGAUAAGUAUUCGC